rnacentral:rRNA from 1 species
AUUGAACGCUGGCGGCAUGCCUUACACAUGCAAGUCGAACGGUAACAGGUCUUCGGAUGCUGACGAGUGGCGAACGGGUGAGUAAUACAUCGGAACGUGCCUAGUAGUGGGGGAUAACUACUCGAAAGAGUGGCUAAUACCGCAUGAGAUCUACGAUGAAAGCAGGGGAUCGCAAGACCUUGUGCUACUAGAGCGGCCGAUGGCAGAUUAGGUAGUUGGUGGGAUAAAAGCUUACCAAGCCGACGAUCUGUAGCUGGUCUGAGAGGACGAUCAGACACACUGGGACAGAGACACGGCCCAGACUCCGACGGGAGGGAGCAGUGGGGAAUUUUGGAGAAUGGGCGAAAGCCUGAUCCAGCAAUGCCGCGUGCAAGAUGAAGGCCUUCGGGUUGUAAACUGCUUUUGUACGGAACGAAAAGCCCCGGGUUAAUACCCUGGGGUCAUGACGGUACCGUAAGAAUAAGCACCGGCUAACUACGUGCCAGCCGCCGCGGUAA